rnacentral:tRNA from 1 species
GUGGGUAUCGUCUAAUGGUAAGACGCGAGAUUGUGGUUCUCGUUAUGGUGGGUUCAAUUCCCCCUACUCACA